AGUGAACGCUGGCGGUAGGCCUAACACAUGCGAGUCGAACGGCAGCACAGGAGAGCUUGCUCUCUGGGUGGCGAGUGGCGGGCGGGUGAGGAAUACAUCGGAAUCUGCCCAGUCGUGGGGGAUAACGUAGGGAAACUUACGCUAAUACCGCAUACGACCUUCGGGUGAAAGAGGGGGAUCGCAAGACCUCUCGCGAUUGGAUGAGCCGAUGUCGGAUUAGCUAGUUGGCGGGGUAAUGGCCCACCAAGGCGACGAUCCGUAGCUGGUCUGAGAGGAUGAUCAGCCACACUGGAACUGAGACACGGUCCAGACUCCUACGGGAGGCAGCAGUGGGGAAUAUUGGACAAUGGGCGCAAGCCUGAUCCAGCCAUACCGCGUGGGUGAAGAAGGCCUUCGGGUUGUAAAGCCCUUUUGUUGGGAAAGAAAUCUUUCAGGCUAAUACCCUGGGAGGAUGACGGUACCCAAAGAAUAAGCACCGGCUAACUUCGUG
rnacentral:rRNA from 1 species